GUCUAACACUUGGAUUGAAGCUGACGAUACGCUAAUUAAAAAAAGACAAUGGCCUAGAGGUGCUAAAGAUGUUUUUGUCAUUCUUACAGAAAUUUGAUCAAAAGUAAUCUGUUUUUAUAUAU